rnacentral:miRNA from 1 species
AUUUAGCGAGCUGAGUGGGGAGGAGAGAGGGACAGAGAGCCUGCUUGCUUUAAAGGAACCAACCGGACAGGAGCCGCUUACACUCGUGUAAGCGGAUCCUCUCCUCUCCCGCUUUGCUCCUUUAAAGAAGCAGGCUCUCUGUCCCUCUCUCCUCCCCACUCAGCGGCUCUUCUC